rnacentral:rRNA from 1 species
UACGUAGGGGGCAAGCGUUGUCCGGAAUUAUUGGGCGUAAAGAGCGCGUAGGCGGUCCGAUAAGUCGGCUGUGAAAGUCAGGGGCUCAACCCUUGGAAGCCGGCCGAUACUGUCGGACUAGAGUCCGGAAGAGGCGAGUGGAAUUCCCGGUGUAGCGGUGAAAUGCGCAGAUAUCGUAAGGAAGACCAGUGGCGAAGGCGGGUCUCUGGACAGUUCCUGACGCUGAGGCACGAAGGCCAGGGGAGCAAACGGG